rnacentral:rRNA from 1 species
CAGCAGCCGCGGGAAUACGUAGGUGGCAAGCGUUGUCCGGAAUUAUUGGGCGUAAAGCGCGCGCAGGUGGUCUAAUAAGUCUGAUGUGAAAGCCCCCGGCUCAACCGGGGAGGGUCAUUGGAAACUGGGAAACUUGAGUGCAGAAGAGGAGAGUGGAAUUCCACGUGUAGCGGUGAAAUGCGUAGAGAUGUGGAGGAACACCAGUGGCGAAGGCGACUCUCUGGUCUGUAACUGACGCUGAGGAGCGAAAGCGUGGGGAGCGAACAGGAUUAGAUACCCCGGUAGUCCCUGUCUCUUAUAC